CUAUUUGGGUAGUGUCAUUGCUGGUUCAUAACGAUGGGUCUCCGUUAACGAGAUAUCAGUUCUCCAACAGAUUAAGGGCAGUCUUGCGGUCUGGUGGUGGCGACGUGUCGGGAUACUUGGCCCACUCCUUCCGUAUUGGGGCCACCACUCAAGCAGGCAUGUUAGGGUUUUCUGAGUCUGCGAUUAAGCAUUUGGGCUUAUCGGUUGUACAUGCGACCCCAUCUGUUGUAAUUUUCUCUCUUGUAGGUUCCCCGCGCUUUGUCUCAUUUAUUUAUUGGGCAGCGCGCAGAGCUGAGCAAAGGUUCUACGGGAGGAACCUAGGUUUUCCUUUUGAAGUGUCAAGGGUUCAUUGGCGAGGCGUUCGAGAGCUCUCCGGGAGCGGACAAUAGAUCUUAUAUUUUGAAUUAAACUGGACUUGGCCCGGUGUAUAGCUCUCUUUCGGGACCACUUGUUUGGUCCGAAAUUGUUCCGCGCCCAUGUUGGCGGGCAUUGCCGCACGCUCGCGGGAUUGAGCGGGCGCUGUGAAAAUUGAACAUGACGGUCGCCAGGUUUGUUCGAGGUCUCGUUGGGAUAGUGGUCAGUCACGUGGAGCUGGAAGGGGAUAACUCUAAUUUAAUGAGGAGAGAUGGAGUCCAUUUUCAGACAUAGGGCUGGACAUCUUUAACCUGGGGUUAGAGUGUGGUGUGGAAUUGUCGCUGGCUGCGGGGGGCGCGAUGCCGACAGGAGGUGAGCACGGUCGACAUCGCGAUGGCGGUGUUCCUGGCCAG